rnacentral:rRNA from 1 species
AUUGAACGCUGGCGGCAUGCUUUACACAUGCAAGUCGAACGGUAACAGGCCUUCGGGUGCUGACGAGUGGCGAACGGGGGAGUAAUGCAUCGGAACGUACCCAGAGGUGGGGGAUAACGCAGCGAAAGCUGUGCUAAUACCGCAUGUGAUCUGAGGAUGAAAGCGGGGGACCGAGCAGCAAUGUUUGGCCUCGCGCCUUUGGAGCGGCCGAUGUCGGAUUAGCUAGUUGGUGGGGUAAAGGCCUACCAAGGCGACGAUCCGUAGCUGGUCUGAGAGGACGACCAGCCACACUGGGACUGAGACACGGCCCAGACUCCUACGGGAGGCAGCAGUGGGGAAUUUUGGACAAUGGGCGCAAGCCUGAUCCAGCCAUGCCGCGUGCGGGAAGAAGGCCUUCGGGUUGUAAACCGCUUUUGGCAGGAACGAAACGGUGUCCGCUAAUACCGGGCGCUAAUGACGGUACCUGCAGAAUAAGCACCGGCUAACUACGUG